AACCUGCCUGUAAGCGGGGAAUAACCCGUUGAAAGACGGACUAAUACCGCAUAAUACUAAAUUACUGCAUGGUAAUUUAUUUAAACAUUUAUGGCUUACAGAUGGGCAUGCGCAUGAUUAGCUAGUUGGAGAGGUAACGGCUCCCCAAGGCAACGAUCAUUAGGGUUCUGAGAGGAAGGUCCCCACACUGGUACUGAGACACGGACCAGACUCCUACGGGAGGCAGCAGUGAGGAAUAUUGGUCAAUGGACGAGAGUCUGAACCAGCCAAGUCGCGUGCAGGAAGAAUGUCCUUAAUGGAUUGUAAACUGCUUUUGCAGGGGAAUAAAGUGCAUCACGUGUGAUGUUUUGUAUGUACUCUGCGAAUAAGGAUCGGCUAACUCCGUGCCAGCAGCAGC
rnacentral:rRNA from 1 species